CGGGACCACUUGAUUUUAGCGGAGGAGAUAUCAAUGAAGGUGUGCAGAGUAUCAAUCAACCGGAGGAAAAUGACCUUCUCAGCCUGGUCAACUCACUAUGUGGCUUUGUAGGGUGGACGGGGUGCCGACCCAGGCGGCCGGCGCCCCCAGCCUUAACUGGCCAGGACGCCCGGCUAAGUGCCCGCCAGUAUACAAAACUCAAGAAUUCAUUUUGUGAAGUCCUGAUAUAUCAUUUAAUUGAUUAAAACUUUCAACAACGGAUCUCUUGGUUCUGGCAUCGAUGAAGAACGCAGCGGAAUGCGAUGAGUAAUGUGAAUUGCAGAAUUCAGUGAAUCAUCGAAUCUUUGAACGCACAUUGCGCCCUCUGGUAUUCCGGAGGGCAUGCCUGUUCGAGCGUCAUUUCAACCCUCAAGCUCUGCUUGGUAUUGGGCAACGUCCGCUGCCGGACGUGCCUUGAAGACCUCGGCGACGGCGUCCUAGCCUCGAGCGUAGUANUAAAAUAUCUCGCUUUGGAGUGCUGGGCGACGGCCGCCGGACAAUCGACCUUCGGUCUAUUUUUCCAGGGUUGACCUCGGAUCAGGUAGGGAUACCCGCUGAACUUAAGC
rnacentral:rRNA from 1 species